AUGAACACCCCACGGUACUUCUUUGGGUCAGCAAGUGUCGGUGAAAAGGCAUAUGUCGCGGGAGGCGUCGAUUCUUCGUUUCAGGCAUUGAGCUGCGCAGAGAUGUAUGACUCGGAGACACAUACUUGGACACCCCUUCCCAGCAUGAAUAGGGCUAGGAGAAAAUGUUCUGGUGCGUUCAUGGACGGCAAGUUCUAUGUGAUCGGUGGUAUUAGCAGUAGAAGGGAGCUAUUGACAUGUGGUGAGGAGUAUGACUUGAACCGGCGGUCAUGGAGGGUCAUCCACAACAUGUCUCAGGGGCUCAACCAGACAUACCUGGGAGCUCCUCUGCUCCUUGCAGUUGUGAAGAAUGAGCUUUAUGCUGCAGAUUACAGUGAGAAUAAUGGUUUGAAGCAGUAUGAUAAGAUGGACAACAAGUGGAUCACUCUUGGAAAAUUGCCUGUACUGUCUACAAAAGAAGGCUGGGACAUGGGUUUCCGAGCGUGUGGUGACCGGCUGAUUGUUAUUGGGCGUCCAAACAAUUCUAGUGACGAAAAGGUGGUUGAGCUUCAUUCAUGGACCCCGGAUGGGCAACCACCUCUGUGGAAUUUGGUUGCCACACGGCCAUUCUUGGGCGGAUUUUUUAAAUGCGCGGUGAUGGGUUGCUGA
rnacentral:rRNA from 1 species